ensembl:piRNA 21ur-2938 ncRNA
UCAAAGCACAGUGCAAAACAU